rnacentral:rRNA from 1 species
GAUGAACGCUGGCGGCGUGCUUAACACAUGCCAGUCGAACGAAGCAUUUGCGACAGAUUUUUUCGGAAUGAAGUUGCUUAUGACUGAGUGGCGGACGGGUGAGUAACGCGUGGGUAACCUGCCUUGUACUGGGGGAUAGCAGCUGGAAACGGCUGGUAAUACCGCAUAAGCGCACAAUGUUGCAUGACAUGGUGUGAAAAACUCCGGUGGUAUAAGAUGGACCCGCGUCUGAUUAGCUAGUUGGUGAGAUAACAGCCCACCAAGGCGACGAUCAGUAGCCGACCUGAGAGGGUGACCGGCCACAUUGGGACUGAGACACGGCCCAGACUCCUACGGGAGGCAGCAGUGGGGAAUAUUGCACAAUGGAGGAAACUCUGAUGCAGCGACGCCGCGUGAGUGAAGAAGUAAUUCGUUAUGUAAAGCUCUAUCAGCAGGGAAGAUAGUGACGGUACCUGACUAAGAAGCUCCGGCGAAAUACGU